AUUGACCAAGUUAUUCAAGGCCAAAUUUGACGUGUAAAAGCACACUUUGACAUCUAAGUUUGUUCGUUAUAAACUUCACGUGAAGAAAUUGACGAAAAAGAAAAUUGUUCUAUUUUUUCAUUUAUUUGUCGUGAAUUCAGUGUCACCAACCUGUGUCCAUUUGGCGGGAAGUGGAAGUAGAGCUGUAGAGCUUUUUGUUUAUUAUUAUUUGUUGAGGUUGAGUCUUUCAUGUUCAUGACAACCUAAAAAUUUUGAUUGGAAAAUGCAUAUAAGAUAAGGGGGUGGGAAAAUGGAAAUUAGUGGCUUUUUUGCAGUUCUGUCUGUUAGUUUUGCUCUGGCUGGGUCUCUUUUGUUUAAACAAUUAUAAUCAGCUGAAAGUGGUCUACAAAAAAACCAGGAAGGAAACGUAUUAUAGCCUUGUUGUGGCUAUGAAAGGCAAAAGAAAGAUACCUAUAAAAAGUGUAUUGACUAGUUGGAAGAAACUCCACAUUGUCGAUGCAUAAUAAGAUAUUACUUUAUAAACAAAUAUCAAGACCUAGGAAUGGAACCUGGAUAAUAUAGUCAUCAAGAAGAUAGCAGGAGGUCAUGAGCAACAACAACUUCAUAAGUAUGAGAAUAUUGAGGAAAUCCAGCUCCUCGAUAUCUACUACUGGACAAACUAGAAGAUUGAAGAGGACAAAGCCUUUUGAACUAGUUUGAGUGAUAGGUGAUAGUGAAAAGCAGAGCGUAGUGCUUGUGUGCCUGUGUAUGUUAGAAUAGUGCACGAUCUUGUUAGAUUAGAUAAGAGACGCUAUAGGGUAAGCUCUUCAUUUUAAGGAACAGUAGUAAUUUAGGUUAAAUUAAAAUUGCUCAUUGGUCAGUUAUGACCAGAUUGUAAUUCUCUGAUGUUUGGCAAUAAGGGCUGAAGUCAGAAUUGCACAUCAAUAAUGUUUUGAUGAUUUCUGGACCAUAAAAAAAGUGUUGCAGACUUAAACUGUAUGUACCAAUAAAAAGAGCCGAUUUUUCUGGUCCAGAAAUCAUCAAAACAUUAUCGAUGUGCAAUUCUGACUUAAGCCCUUUUUCCCAAACAUCAGAGAAUUGCAAUGUACAAUUCAAUACAAAUGAAUCAUCAUCGUAGUGAUGAUUAUGGAAAAAAAUAUAUAUAUAUAGAAAUAUAUAUAUUUUGUGCAAUAAAAAUGUUUAUAUUUA